GGCGGUUAGUCCUCUCCCGGCCGCCGUCGCCUCCGACAUAUUGCCCGCAGGAGCUGCGGCGGCGAAGCGGAGAGCACCGGGGGAGGAGAUGGGAGGACGAAGAGGUCCCAACAGGACAUCUUACUGUCGAAAUCCGCUCUGUGAGCCGGGAUCCUCGGGGGGCUCUAGUGGAAGCCACACUUCCAGUGCAUCGGUGACCAGUGUUCGUUCCCGCACCAGCACUGCAAGAUCCCCGAGCUGCCAGUCCAGGCCAGCAUUCUGUUUGAGUUGCAGCUCUUCUUCUGCCAGCUCAUAGCACUCUUCGUCCACUACAUCAACAUCUACAAGACAGUGUGGUGGUAUCCACCUUCCCACCCACCCUCCCACACCUCCCUGAACUUCCAUCUGAUCGACUUCAACUUGCUGAUGGUGACCACCAUCGUUCUGGGCCGCCGCUUCAUUGGGUCCAUCGUGAAGGAGGCCUCUCAGAGGGGGAAGGUCUCCCUCUUUCGCUCCAUCCUGCUGUUCCUCACUCGCUUCACCGUUCUCACGGCAACAGGCUGGAGUCUGUGCCGAUCCCUCAUCCACCUCUUCAGGACCUACUCCUUCCUGAACCUCCUGUUCCUCUGCUAUCCGUUUGGGAUGUACAUUCCUUUCCUGCAGCUGAAUUGCGACCUCCGCAAGACAAGCCUCUUCAACCACAUGGCCUCCAUGGGGCCCCGGGAGGCGGUCAGUGGCCUGGCAAAGAGCCGGGACUACCUCCUGACACUGCGGGAGACGUGGAAGCAGCACACAAGACAGCUGUAUGGCCCGGACGCCAUGCCCACCCAUGCCUGCUGCCUGUCGCCCAGCCUCAUCCGCAGUGAGGUGGAGUUCCUCAAGAUGGACUUCAACUGGCGCAUGAAGGAAGUGCUCGUCAGCUCCAUGCUGAGCGCCUACUAUGUGGCCUUUGUGCCUGUCUGGUUCGUGA
rnacentral:sRNA from 1 species